CCGCGGUAUUUUGACCGUGCUAAGGUAGCAUAAUCAGUAGUUUUUUAAUUGAAAGCUGGAAUGAAGGGUUGGAUAAGAAAAUGACUGUUUCUAUUUUAUUUAAUUAGAACUUUAUUUUUAAGUUAAAAAGCUUAAAUUUUUUUAAAAGACGAGAAGACCCUAUAGAGUUUAAUAAUUUUAAAUGUUUUUAGGUUAAGAAUUUACUUUUUAAAUUUUUAAAAUUAUUUAAUUGGGGUGAUUAAAAAAUUAAUAUAACUUUUUUUGUAUAUUUACAUUAUUAUUUGAGUAUUUGAUCCAUAUUUUGUGAUUAUAAGAUUAAAUUACCUUAGGGAUAACAGCGUUAUUUUUUUUAAGAGUU
rnacentral:rRNA from 1 species